GACGUAGGGCGCGAGCGUUGUCCGGAUUUAUUGGGCGUAAAGAGCUCGUAGGCGGCUUGUCGCGUCGUCCGUGAAAACUUGGGGCUCAACCCCAAGCUUGCGGUCGAUACGGGCAGGCUCGAGUUCGGUAGGGGAGACUGGAAUUCCUGGUGUAGCGGUGAAAUGCGCAGAUAUCAGGAGGAACACCGGUGGCGAAGGCGGGUCUCUGGGCCGAUAUUGACGCUGAGGAGCGAAAGCGUGGGGAGCGAACAGG
rnacentral:rRNA from 1 species